GAUGAAGAACGCAGCGAAAUGCGAUAAGUAAUGUGAAUUGCAGAAUUCAGUGAAUCAUCGAAUCUUUGAACGCACAUUGCGCCCGCCAGUAUUCUGGCGGGCAUGCCUGUCUGAGCGUCAUUUCAACCCUCAUGCCCCUAGGGCGUGGCGUUGGGGAUCGGCCAAAGCCCGCGAGGGACGGCCGGCCCCUAAAUCUAGUGGCGGACCCGUCGUGGCCUCCUCUGCGAAGUAGUGAUAUUCCGCAUCGGAGAGCGACGAGCCCCUGCCGUUAAACCCCCAACUUUCCAAGGUUGACCUCAGAUCAGGUAGGAAUACCCGCUGAACUUAAGCAUAUCAAUAAGCGGAGGA
rnacentral:misc_RNA from 1 species